AUCAAUCGCUAGGGGUGCCUAGUAUUUUAUCGCGCUUAAGUUUUAGGUGGGAUAGGUACUAAUGCUGAGAGGAGCUUGCUCCAACCCUUAAACCUGAUGUGGUUAGUACCACCGUAGGAAAGCAGAAUGAAAGGCUU
rnacentral:ncRNA from 1 species